GGAUGGUCCGAAGGUAGUGAUAUAUCUCACUUGAUUGUUCACAGUCAGUUACAGAUUAAACUCCCUGUUCUAUUACUUUCCCCCCUUCUCACUAUUGCACUUGACUAGUCAUUA
rnacentral:Y_RNA from 1 species